GGUCCCGUAGCUCAGUUGGUAGAGCACUACCUUGACAUGGUAGUGGUCGAUGGUUCGAGUCCAUUCGGGCCACCA
rnacentral:tRNA from 1 species